rnacentral:piRNA from 1 species
UGGCAAUGGCAUUUCUUUAUGUGACAUCC